AAUAAAAUAAAUGUCUUCCAUAUGCCACCCAUUGUCUACUCUCAUUCCAGGGAAGAGAGAAGACUCCCUGAUUGCCUACUGUCAAGACAUCAAUGUCACAAUUUAGGCUCUUACAUCUGUUGUCUCUAGGAUAGGACAACAAUAUGGAUAGUUAGGACGAAAGGAAUACGUAACCCAUUUUUCUCCAGGAUUAUUUUGGUCAACCACCUCAUCUAAUAGCUUCCAGAGAAAGUGACCAUAGGAGAUCUCUGCCUUCCCGAGAUCAUCCUCUCCUAGCCUCCUCUGGUGGGGUUCUCUGAACACCAAGAACUUGUUGCCUCUCUUAGGAGAGGCCUGCACAUGCAUGAGACCAAGAUGAACACUUUUCUGUUGUGUGGGUCUCAGAUUGCACUGCACAGUAUAUACAUUAUGAACCAAACCAUCAGACUUUUUCUUUGGCUGCAUUCCAUUUUCUCUUGGGAUAACGGAUGCAUUUCACUGAAGCUGCAGAAAGAAAAAGUGAAGAUCAAGAACCUGUGGGAAAUGGCAGCCACCUUGUAGACAAAUGCCUAAUACUACGUGAUCAAAACCGUGCUGAGAGCCAGGGACACAACAGUCAGGUGCCCUGCCCUGAGGACAAGAGGAGCGUGCAGGGACUGAUUUGUGAACAAGACGCUGCUCCUGGCUCAAGGUCCCUCUGGCCAGAAAUCCACCGCAUUAAGCCCGGGGUGGGGACUAGAUUCCCAUUCCUGUGGAAUCGCCCCCUGAGAGGGACUGGGCACUUUUGGGGGCAGGUCACCCUCCUGCAGGCGGGACCUACAUUCGCAGCAAGCCCCCAACCGUCUCCCCAGGGGAAGAAUACGGCCAAGUUGGUAUCUGCCUUCCGGCCAGUUCCUGUUCUCAGCUUGGAGCCUACUUGGCUUCUUCCUUCAUGGGAGAUAAGGAAGGAAUGUUUGUCCAGGUGUCACUGACUAUCUCGGGCACAGGAGUGUCUUCAGGGCGUAGUGUCAGAACCGGUCCCCCUGAUCUGGGUGUGCUGUAAACAGCAGGUUGAUUCAAAGCUGAGAGGCGUUGGGAAACCCCUUGGGCAAGAGAUUUCGAAAUGAGAUUCAGAUUAGAAAAAACAUAGUUGGGCGAGUUCUAAGGAACGAAGGAGACAGAAAAGGCUUCCAUCUGGCACUUGGUGGGUAGCGGGGCUAGAUGAUGAGCCUGGGAGGCCUGGAAUGGGAGGAAGCAGCUGAGCUGAGCACUGCUCCCCUCCCCACUGCCCACAGGACAGGAGGCCCGCUGCGUCUGUCCACCAGGCGAGACCACACCCGGAGCAGAGCGGAGCGCCCAGCUAGGGCAUGUCAGCACCAGCUAGCAGCUCCAUCAGAGGCUCUGCAGAGAGGGAGGGGCCUGGGCAAAGGAGCAGGGUUGGCAGGAGUAUUAGGAGAAAAACUUAGUUACAAAAAGAUUUUAAAAGAUGUGUUGGAUAAUUGAGGAAGGGACUGGGGAGGAAACGAGGAAUAAAGCUCUGAACGCCAAAGCCUUGGUGGCCGGGCAAAGGGACAGCCCCGCACCGAU